AUGCUCGCUUCAGCAGCACAUAUACUAAAUUGGAAGGAUACAGAGAUUAUCAUGGCCCCUGCCCUACGCAAGGAUGACAGGCAAAUCCGUCAAGCGUUCCGUAUUUUU